rnacentral:rRNA from 1 species
AGCGAACGCUGGCGGCAGGCCUAACACAUGCAAGUCGAACGGCUCUUCGGAGCAGUGGCGGACGGGUGAGUAACGCGUGGGAACGUGCCCUUUGGUUCGGAACAACACAGGGAAACUUGUGCUAAUACCGGAUGUGCCCUUCGGGGGAAAGAUUUAUCGCCAUUGGAGCGGCCCGCGUUGGAUUAGGUAGUUGGUGGGGUAAUGGCCCACCAAGCCGACGAUCCAUAGCUGGUCUGAGAGGAUGAUCAGCCACACUGGGACUGAGACACGGCCCAGACUCCUACGGGAGGCAGCAGUGGGGAAUCUUGCGCAAUGGGCGAAAGCCUGACGCAGCCAUGCCGCGUGAAUGAUGAAGGUCUUAGGAUUGUAAAAUUCUUUCACCGGGGAAGAUAAUGACGGUACCCGGAGAAGAAGCCCCGGCUAACUUCGUGCCAGCAGCCGCGGUAAUACGAAGGGGGCUAGCGUUGCUCGGAAUUACUGGGCGUAAAGGGCGCGUAGGCGGACAGUUAAGUCAGAGGUGAAAGCCCAGGGCUCAACCUUGGAAUUGCCUUUGAUACUGGCUGUCUUGAGUUCGGGAGAGGUGAGUGGAAUGCCGAGUGUAGAGGUGAAAUUCGUAGAUAUUCGGCGGAACACCAGUGGCGAAGGCGACUCACUGGCCCGAUACUGACGCUGAGGCGCGAAAGCGUGGGGAGCAAACAGG